UACGUAGGGGGCAAGCGUUAUCCGGAUUUACUGGGUGUAAAGGGGGCGCAGACGGCGAUGCAAGCCAGGAGUGAAAGCCCGGGGCCCAACCCCGGGACUGCUCUUGGAACUGCGUGGCUGGAGUGCAGGAGGGGCAGGCGGAAUUCCUGGUGUAGCGGUGAAAUGCGUAGAUAUCAGGAGGAGCACCGGUGGCGAAGGCGGCCUGCUGGACUGCAACUGACGUUGAGGCCCGAAAGCGUGGGGAGCAAACAGG
rnacentral:rRNA from 1 species